AUUGAACGCUGGCGGCAGGCCUAACCCAUGCAAGUCGAACGAGUGGCGGACGGGUGAGUAAUGUCUGGGAAACUGCCUGAUGGAGGGGGAUAACUACUGGACACGGUAGCUAAUACCGCAUACCAUCAGAUGUGCCCAGAUGGGAUUAGCUAGUUGGUGGGGUAACGGCUCACCAAGGCGACGAUCCCUAGCUGGUCUCAAAGGAUGACCAGCCACACUGGAACGGAGACGCGGUGCAGACUCCUACGGGAGGCAGCAGUGGGGAAUGUUGUACAAUGUGCGCAAGCCUGAUGCAGCCAUGCCGCGUGUAUGAAGAAGGCCUUCAGGUUGUAAAGUACUGUCAGUGGGGAGGCUUUACCCGGAGAAGAAGGACCGGAUAACUCCGUGCCAGCAGCCGCGGUAAUUC
rnacentral:rRNA from 1 species